UACCGGAUAACAACAUGAAAUCGCAUGAUUCAAAGUUUGAAAAGGCGGCGCAAGCUGUCACUUUAGGAUGAGCCCGCGGCGCAUUAGCUAGUUGGUGGGGUAAAGGCCUACCAAGGCAAUGAUGCGUAGCCGAGGUUGAGAGACUGAUCGGCCACAUUGGGACUGAGACACGGCCCAAACUCCUACGGGAGGCAGCGAGUAGGGAAUCUUCCACAAUGGACGCAAGUCUGAUGGAGCAACGCGCGUGAGUGAAGAAGGUUUUCGGAUCGUAAAGCUCUGUUGUUGGUGAAGAGGGAUAGAGGCAGUAACUGGUCUUUAUUUGACGGUAAUCAACCAGAAAGUCACGGCUAACUACGUG
rnacentral:rRNA from 1 species